GUUUAAUUCAGCUAUUGGGAAGAAUACUAUCAAGGGAGUGGAGGUGGUAGAGUUGAAUGGGCCACGGAUUGCUUCCACUUCACUGUUCCCUUUCCCUUCCUUCUGUUGCCACCCCUUCCUUGAAGAUACUCUUACUGAUUUUUGAUGAACGAGGAGACUGCGCAGGAGGGCGGUCAACGGCAGUGACGGAGUGGUGAUGGGCAGUGUUGUUUGAAGGGGCUUGGAUCUGUUCGAAGCCGACAGCCCCCACCUACCCCAGCUGUGGCCAGACUGGAGCAAGACCCAGAGCUGGCCGAGCCCUGCCUGGACCUUCCCUGGCUGGUCUGUCUGCAUCUGUCUUCCUGUCCUUCUGUCUCUCUGGAAUUCCUGUCAGAACAACUCUGUCGUCAACUGGAGAGACGCUUUAAUGGGUCACCCACCCAUCCAACAGACCCAACCUUUGCCACAGGACCCAGGAGCCUUGGAAGGGACAGUACCACGGAUGGCUCCCGUCAUGCUUCAGUGAGAGCUUCGGGGUCGAAAGGAAAAGGCUGAGAAGGGGAGAAGCAGAGACCAGAGGCACAGGGUCGCUGGAAUGCAUUCCAUCGCCCUCUGGUUCCUUGAGAGCUCAUAGCCUUGCUCCUGGGGCGAAGGUGGGAUCCUGUGUGGGAUGUUCACACACGUGCGUGGAGAACAUGGAUCUGAUUUAACUGCAGCAUUUAAUUGUUGAAUCAGAGGAAAACCAUCUACAAGUUCCUAAUAUGUGAAUUUUAUUUAACAAAAUUAAAAAGCAUUUGCCUUGUGAAAAUUCUAUUAAUAUUUAAAGCCAAAUAACAAACUGGGAAAGAUGUUUGCAAUAUUAAUGGCAGAGUUAAAAAACCCAGUAUACACAAGGCCUUUAUGAAAUGAAAGGAGAGCAGCUCACAUAGACUAAUGGACAAAUGAAAAACUUGCAGAAAAGAAACAGUGUGAUCAGCAACGUGUAAAAAUGUUGCUAAUGUUAAUGACUGUGAAUUAAAAAUGACGUGUCAGUCGUGCUUCGUGGUGCACGCUUGCGACUCAACAGGCAGAUGGAUGCAGGAGGACUGAGAGUGUGAGCCCAGGCUGGGCAACUUGAGACCCUGUAUCAGAGUGAAAGAUAAAAAGGGCAGCAUAUAGCUUGUGCUAGAGCUCCGGCCUAGCAUUUCUGGGGCCCUGGGUUCAAUCCCCAGUCACACACACACACACUUGUGUCUUACCUAAUGAUGAAGAUAAACAGAUUGGUUAAAGAAAAAUGACAGUACUAGUUAAGGGCUAUAGAAAUGCCUUGUUAAUG
rnacentral:lncRNA from 1 species